CAGGGAAUUUUGCGCAAUGGGCGAAAGCUUGACGCAGCGACGCCGCGUGAGGGAAGACGGCCUUAGGGUUGUAAACCUCUUUUCUGGGGGAAGAGCAAGGACGGUACCCCAGGAAUAAGCCCCGGCUAACUACGUGCCAGCAGCCGCGGUAAUACGUAGGGGGCAAGCGUUGUCCGGAGUUAUUGGGCGUAAAGAGCGCGUAGGCGGUUCAGGAAGUCUUCGGUGAAAUCUCCCGGCUCAACCGGGAGCGGUCCGAGGAAACUCUUGGGCUUGAGGAUAGCAGAGGAGGGUGGAAUUCCCGGUGUAGUGGUGAAAUGCGUAGAUAUCGGGAGGAACACCAGUGGCGAAGGCGGCCCUCUGGGCUAUACCUGACGCUGAGGCGCGAAAGCGUGGGGAGCGAACCGG
rnacentral:rRNA from 1 species